UUAGAGUUUGAUCCUGGCUCACGAUGAACGCUGGCGGCGUGCCUUAAGCAUGCAAGUCGAACGGGGUCCGCAAGGACCAAGUGGCGGACGGGUGAGUAACGCGUAGAAAUCUACCCCUAGGUGGACCAUAGCUCAUCGAAAGAUGGGGUAAUAGUCCAUGGUUCCGGAAACGGUAAAGCAAUUAACUUUGCGCCAAGGGAGGAGUCUGCGUCCUAUCAGCUAGUUGGUGGGGUAAUGGCCUACCAAGGCAAUGACGGGUAGCUGGACUGAGAGGUCGAUCAGCCACAACUGCACUUAGACACGGGCAGUACACCUACGGGUGGCAGCAACUGGGAAUAUUGCGCAAUGGGGGAAACCCUGACGCAGCGACGCCGCGUGGAGGAUGAAGGCCUUAGGGUUGUAAACUCCUUUUAAUAGACCUUUCACGGUCUAUAGAAUAAGCCUCUACUAACUACGUGCCAGAAGUCUCGGUAAUACGUAGGAGGCGAGCGUUAUCCGGAUUUAUUGGGCGUAAAGUGUGCGUAGGCGGAUCGAUGUGUCUUCUCUUAAAGACUGAAGCUUAACUUCAGCAGUGGGGAAGAAACUAUCGAACUUGAGGAUUGUUAGGGAUGUCGGAACAGUUAGUGUAGCAGUGAAAUGCGUUGAUAUUAACUGGAACACCAAAGGCGAAGGCAGACAUCUGGGAUUUUCCUGACGCUGAGGCACGAAAGCUAGGGUAGCGAAACAGAUUAGAUACCUGUGUAGUCCUAGCUGUAAACGAUGUCCGCUAGCUCUGUGCGUUUACGUACGGGGUGUAAGCUAACGCGUUAAGCGGACCGCCUGGGGAGUACGGCCGCAAGGCUAAAACUCAAAGGAAUUGACGGGGACCCGCACAACCGGUGGAGCGUGUGGUUCAAUUCGAGACAAAACGAAAAAACCUCACCAGGACUUGACAUGAUACCGUACAUUUUUCCUAGAAAUAGGGAGAAAUCCGCAAGGAUGGUACCACAGGUGCUGCAUGGCUGUCGUCAGCUCGUGCCGUGAGGUGUUCCCUUAAGUGGGGAAACGAGCGCAACCCGCGUCCAAUGUUGAAUAUUCAUUGGAGACUGUCCCGGUUUUACCGGGGAGGAAGGAGCGGAAGACGUCAAGUCAGCACGGCCCUUAUGUCCUGGGCUACACACACACUAUAAUGGCGAAAAACAACGGGCUGCAAGCCGGUAACGGCAAGCUAAUCCCUUAAAUUUCGCCUCAGUUCAGAUUGAGGUCUGCAACCUGACCUCAGGAAGUCGGAAUCGGUAGUAAUCGCGGAUCAGAAUGCCGCGGGGAAUACGUUCUGGGGUCUUGUACACACCGCCGGUCAAGGCAGCAAAGUCGGUAGUUAUCGAACAUCCUUUCGGGGGUGGAGAUAGAGAUGGGGGAGGAGGCUUAAGUGGUAACAAGGUAACC
rnacentral:rRNA from 1 species